CAUCAUCCAGCACUCACACUCACACACACAUCAUCCAGCACGCACUCACACACACAUCAUCCAGCACUCACACACCCAUCAUCCAGCACGCACUCACACACACAUCAUCCAGCACUCACACUCACACACACAUCAUCCAGCACGCACUCACACACACAUCAUCCAGCACUCACUCACACACCCAUCAUCCAGCACGCACUCACACACACAUCAUCCAGCACACACACACACACACA